rnacentral:pre_miRNA from 1 species
UUAGUACUCCCUUCAUUCGGAAUUACUUGUCACAAAAAUGGAUGUAUCAACAACUAAAAUACAUCUAGAUACAUUCAUUUCUUGGACGAGUAAUUCCGAACGGAGGGAGUAUGUA